rnacentral:rRNA from 1 species
AGAAUCAACGCUGGCGGCGUGCCUAACACAUGCAAGUCGCACGAGAAAGUGGAGCAAUCCAUGAGUAAAGUGGCGCACGGGUGAGUAACACGUGAAUUAUCUACCUCCGAGUGGGGAAUAACUGAGAGAAAUCUUAGCUAACACCGCAUAACACUUACGAGUCAAAGCAGCAAUGCGCUUGGAGAGGAGUUCGCGGCCGAUUAGUUAGUUGGCGGGGUAAUGGCCCACCAAGACGAUGAUCGGUA